CGGGAGGUGCGCGCAGAUUGCCUGCUUGGAAGAAAACGGAGAUCUUUAUUAUCAGGAAACAAGCUGCGGCUUGGUGGCCCCGCCUGAAAAACUGUCGACUGGUGACCGACGCCUCACAGCCAUUCCCGAGCUGCUGCGCGAAGGCGGUCUGUAAGUGAACGAAGAUCGAAAGGGCCAAUAAAGAAAAAGGAAAUGGUCAAGUAAUAUUUAUCACUUUUUUUUAUCUUUUCAUUGUUCUCUUAGAGUUUCGUUUAUUUCUGUAUUUGUCCACUGGGGAAGAGAUUUUUUCUCUA